rnacentral:rRNA from 3 species
AGGGAUCAUUACCGAGUUUACAACUCCCAAACCCAAUGUGAACGUUACCAAACUGUUGCCUCGGCGGGAUCUCUGCCCCGGGUGCGUCGCAGCCCCGGACCAAGGCGCCCGCCGGAGGACCAACCAAAACUCUUUUGUAUACCCCCUCGCGGGUUUUUAUAUCUGAGCCAUCUCGGCGCCUCUCGUAGGCGUUUCGAAAAUGAAUCAAAACUUUCAACAACGGAUCUCUUGGUUCUGGCAUCGAUGAAGAACGCAGCGAAAUGCGAUAAGUAAUGUGAAUUGCAGAAUUCAGUGAAUCAUCGAAUCUUUGAACGCACAUUGCGCCCGCCAGUAUUCUGGCGGGCAUGCCUGUCCGAGCGUCAUUUCAACCCUCGAACCCCUCCGGGGGGUCGGCGUUGGGGAUCGGCCCUUUACGGGGCCGGCCCCGAAAUACAGUGGCGGUCUCGCCGCAGCCUCUCCUGCGCAGUAGUUUGCACACUCGCAUCGGGAGCGCGGCGCGUCCAUUGCCGUAAAACACCCAACUUUCUGAAAUGUUGACCUCGGAUCAGGUAGGAAUACCCGCUGAACUUAA